CCGGGAGAGGUGAGAGGUACUUCAGGGGUAGGGGUGAAAUCUUGUGAUCCUCGAGGGACCACCAGUGGUGAAGGCGUCUCGCCAGAACGGGUCCGACGGUAAGGGACGAAAGCUAGGGGCACGAACCGGAUUAGAUACCCGGGUAGUCCUAGCCGUAAACGAUGCUCGCUAGGUGUCAGUCACGGUGCGACCGUGAUUGGUGCCGUAGGGAAGCCGUGAAGCGAGCCACCUGGGAAGUAUGGCCGCAAGGCUGAAACUUAAAGGAAUUGGCGGGGGAGCACUACAACGGGUGGAGCCUGCGGUUUAAUUGGAUUCAACGCCGGAAAUCUCACCGGGGGCGACAGCGAUAUGAAGGUCAGGCUGAAGACUUUACCGGAUUAGCUGAGAGGUGGUGCAUGGCCGUCGUCAGUUCGUACUGUGAAGCAUCCUGUUAAGUCAGGUAACGAGCGAGACCC
rnacentral:rRNA from 1 species